AGAGUAAACACGCCCUGCCCUCCCCAGUCCAAGCACGCUGCCCGGCGCCCGGCAGCCCACCAGAAGCCAGCUCGGCGUUUCUUCUAAUUCAGUAGCCCUCAACCUUUAGGGAGUCACAGAACCGUGGCAAAACCGAAGAACGAAACGCGCGCCCGCGCAGUACAGCGGACGAACUCGGCUUUGCACCCGUUCUUCGGGACCCACGAGAGGAGACGGCCAGGAGAGGGUGCCACUCCGAGGGUCGUGGGCAGCGGAGAGUCUGGGGGCUCAGCCGGGUGGGUCCCGGGUUCUGGCCUGCACGUCCACCCGUUCUCCAGGCCUCACCCGUGGAAAGUGCCCACGGCUGCCGCUCUCGCCGCCUCCGUCGCGUCACAGCCGCGCCAGUGUGAAGAGCACUAGGGCGGGCGCGCCGGAAAUACGUCACGGGAACGCCGGCAGCGCGUGAAGUUGGUGAGGCCUGGGCCGCGGCAUACUUCCGGCCUGAGUCCGGCACCGCGGGUGAGAGACCGAGGCCGAGCGUGCUCAGUAAAGGAGGCAGAGCCAGCGUUUCGUUUGAGCGAUGUUUACUAACGGCGCAAGGGCGGGGAGCGAAGCGCAGCGGGGCGCAGGGGCCGGAACGGGACCGAGCGUGGGUUGCAUGGGCCUCGAUGGGACGGGCCGGGGCGCGAUGGGUGGGGCGGGGGCGAGGUGAGGUGAGGGGUGGAGCGGGGGAAGCACGGGUGGGAGAGGGCGGGGCGCGGGGAUUGGGAGUGGGCGGGGUUCCGUGCCCCAGAGUCGAGGGAGCCGUGGGCUUGGGGUCCGGAUCGCGGCCGCGGGGCGCUGGCGUGCGGUGUCAUUUCUGCGGUGUAAAUGCUCCCACCUUGGCCGAUUUCAAGCCACCAGGUGAGGAUGGCACUACAGGAGGAGCCGAGAAGAGGCGCGCAGUUGGCCUCCGGCGCUGGAGCUGGUUCAGGGCACUCCCCUGCCCUGCCCUCCCCACCGAUCUGUGCGGCAGAGCCAGGCCCCAGGGCAGGGCCAUGCCUCCGCAGUCAGCCUCACCUGCAACAUCUUCCACUGAGGCUCCAGCUGCCCUCUCAGGUACAUCAGGGCCUGGACGUCCUCUGGGGAGGCCACAGAGGAAGGGCCUAGGCUAGGAGGUGCCUCUCCAUUCAGCACCCGGGCCAGGAUCCCUGCUAGCUGGGGUGUGGAGUUCUGGACCAGGGGCGAAGACGGAAGCAGUCACUGGUCCUUUCCCUCGUCCCACCCCGCAGCACCUCCACCCUGCCCAGCUUACCUCCUCCAGGAGGGCCAGGACUCGGCCCCCUGCCAGCCCCCGAAGCAUUGCAGCCAGGAGUGCAGCGUGGGGGCCCUGCAGGCCAUGGCCAGGCCCCAGCGCCACCAGCACCAGGUCAGGCUGGAAGCCAUAGGCCAGGGGCAGCACCAAGCCCAAGAUGCAGCUCAGGAAACCACCGGUCAUCUGUGGGGACAGCAGAGCCCAGCUCCUCAUCUACGGACACCUGCUGGCUCUGGCCUCCCAACCUCCCAAUCUCAGGGCCCCUGGAGUAGGAGCAGGGAGACAGGAAGGACCAGAGGCCUGCUAUCAUGACAAUGCCAGCAAACAGCAGCUGUACACAUCCAUGGGCUCCCCAGCACCUGCCUUGCCGCGUGGCAUGGUCACUCACCACUGGCAGUGGCGUGGAGACAUGGAACAUGGAUAGGGCAGCCGCCUCCUUGCCCCUGAUGUUCAGCCACAGACUCCUCCUUCCAGGACACAGGUGCAUAAGUGUAAGGCCCUGCUCACCCUCCUGAGCCCAAACCGCAGAGGCAGAGGUGGAAGAGCAUUCACGGGGCCAUGGGCAGGGGUGCUGUGACUGCUGAGCCUCUGUGCUGGAGACCCACCUGGCAUUGCCUCCAGCAGCCCUUCUCCCACACCCCAGCUGAGGAAGGCUCCAUUCAGUACCACACAGUGCCCCACCCACCCGUCACCCUGGGGCCCAGGCACACGUCCAUCACAUGCCCGUCCACAUGCAUGGCUGGACAUAUGCAAGACCUGAGAGUCCUACCCGUCAUGGGCGAGGUCUGGAGGCCGGUCCAGCUGUCCCAGGGCCACGCACAGCAGCCUGGAAGAAGAGCUGGCCUCAGGACAGGUGUUCAUGUUGUCCAGAGUCCAUUCCCAGAACUCUCUGUGCUUGGCCAGCCAGGAUAGGGGUGCCCACAGGUCCUGCCGUCAGAGGCUCAGGAUGGCCAAGUGAGGCUUACCUCUGGGCUCCGUGGGACAGGCCUCUCCGAACAGCCACAUCCAGGGUGGCUGCUGCAGCAGAGGCUGGAGUGGCUGCUAUACCACUGUUCACCUGUGGGAUGAAUAAACAGUGGAGAAUGAGGCACCAACCAACUCCCAA
rnacentral:lncRNA from 1 species